rnacentral:rRNA from 1 species
UGCAGUCGAGGGGUAUAUUUCUUCGGAGAUAGAGACCGGCGCACGGGUGCGUAACGCGUAUGCAAUCUACCUUUUACAGAGGGAUAGCCCAGAGAAAUUUGGAUUAAUACCUCAUAGUAUAAUGACCUGGCAUCAGGAUAUUAUUAAAGUCACAACGGUAAAAGAUGAGCAUGCGUCCCAUUAGCUAGUUGGUAAGGUAACGGCUUACCAAGGCUACGAUGGGUAGGGGUCCUGAGAGGGAGAUCCCCCACACUGGUACUGAGACACGGACCAGACUCCUACGGGAGGCAGCAGUGAGGAAUAUUGGACAAUGGGCGCAAGCCUGAUCCAGCCAUGCCGCGUGCAGGAUGACGGUCCUAUGGAUUGUAAACUGCUUUUAUACGAGAAGAAACACUGCUUCGUGAAGCAGCUUGACGGUAUCGUAAGAAUAAGGAUCGGCUAACUCCGUGCCAGCAGCCGCGGUAAUACGGAGGAUCCAAGCGUUAUCCGGAAUCAUUGGGUUUAAAGGGUCCGUAGGCGGUUUAAUAAGUCAGUGGUGAAAGCCCAUCGCUCAACGGUGGAACGGCCAUUGAUACUGUUAAACUUGAAUUAUUAGGAAGUAACUAGAAUAUGUAGUGUAGCGGUGAAAUGCUUAGAGAUUACAUGGAAUACCAAUUGCGAAGGCAGGUUACUACUAAUGGAUUGACGCUGAUGGACGAAAGCGUGGGUAGCGAACAGGAUUAGAUACCCUGGUAGUCCACGCCGUAAACGAUGGGUACUAGCUGUUGGAAGCAAUUUCAGUGGCUAAGCGAAAGUGAUAAGUAUCCCACCUGGGGAGUACGUUCGCAAGAAUGAAACUCAAAGGAAUUGACGGGGGCCCGCACAAGCGGUGGAGCAUGUGGUUUA